rnacentral:rRNA from 1 species
CCUUUAGAUGUUCUGGGCUGCACGCGCGCUACACUGAUGCAUCCAACGAGUUUAUAACCUGAGCCGAUAGGCCUAGGUAAUCUUGUGAGUAUGCAUCGUGAUGGGGAUAGAUUAUUGCAAUUAUUAAUCUUCAACGAGGAAUGCCUAGUAGGCGCGAGUCAACAGCUCGUGCCGAUUACGUCCCUGCCCUUUGUACACACCGCCCGUCGCUCCUACCGAUUGAAUGGUCCGGUGAAAUCUCGGGACGGCGGCUUGGUCGCUUGCGUCCGACUGCUGAAACUUGAUUAAACCAUAUCAUUUAGAGGAAGGUGAAGUCGUAACA